UUGUACUUUCGUACUUGGAAAUACCUUUUUUUUUUCCUUUGGGCAUUGGUGAGUAAAAAAAGAAGACAGAAAGUCUGGAGUUAGAGGGGAAAAAUGGCUUUUCCACUGAGACGAAUAUGAGAGAGUUGGCUUCUACCUUCCUCUCUAGAUUAAUAACUAGAGGGUCUUGGGAUUAGAAAGCAGUGUGCCCCAUUUUCUUCCUUCUAAUUCUUUCUUUUCUUCCUUUCAACAAAUGUGAGUGUCUAUUACAUGCCAAAUACUCAGGUUGGGUUAGGGUUAGGGUUAGUAAUACGAUGUGGACUAAAUCUGUGUUAGGUAAAGGAAGGUGUCUUUCUACAACAGGAGAGGCUGUGUCUUACAAGGGUCUGAACUCAGGAUUCUCAAUUGAAUUUAGGAUCACCUAGAAUGGAAACGGACAUGGAACCCAGACCCAGUGUGAGAACUCAAGGAGAGGAGAUUUGGUCAAUUAUUAAGACUAAGACAAGUGAAUGUCUAAGGACUACCUCGCCUAAUAAGUUUCAACACCCACAAGCAAUCCUGUCUUGAUAUGUGUAGAAUACAGCAUUUCAUUUUUAUAAACUCUUCAUGUAACAAUUUCUCGAAAACUCAUUUUUGCAUGGUCUGCUUUGGCAUAGAGUUUCACGUUCUAACUACGUGGAGUAUUUACAGGAAUCAUCAUCAUUGCCCUUUGUAGCAGGUAGCAGCAACAUAGGUGUUAUAAUAAUAGCAAUGAUAAAACAGCAAUACUAAUAAUAAUGGUGACAAUAGCAGCAGUAGCAGCAACAACAACAACAAUAAAAUGCUAAUAAAGAGACUGUAGAGCCAGCAUCCCCAUCUGACACAUAAGAACAGGAAGAUUAAAGAGAAGGGAAGUGACUUUCUCAAGGUCACACAUCAAUCAGCGGCCACUCUCAGAGGAGGACCUGGUGUUCUAAGAGCCAGCAUUCUUUAAUCACAAUGCCAAAUAACAAUAACUGCUAGCAUUUUGACCUGCUUACCCUGACCCAGGCAUUGUGUACGAAGCUUGGCAAACAAUAUUGCAAGUCAUCACAAAAACUUAAAGGAGGCACCACCAUCAGGUCAGCCCAUUUUCCAGGUGGCCCAAGUCCCCAUGGUGUAAAAUGCAUGCCAAAUGGGGAAGGGUGGGCUUGGGAGAGUCCCUCCCUAGAGGAGGGAGAAGGAGCCUGCAGAACAGGUUCAAGGGAAUUCAAGGGCUGCCUGGGAGCCUGCACCCCUGUUCCAGCCGAACAUCUUUGUCUCUCGUCUCUCUUGUUCAAUUUUACUGCAUCCCAGUUUUUCUAAAGUCAGGCUCUCAGCAGCCGGGGAUGCUGGCUUCAAGGUCCACAGGAAUGGUGCCUGGGGAAUUUGCAUAGCUACCUUGGCUACAGGCAAGCAAAAGGUUGCCAUGGAAACCCUUCAUCCCUUCUCAGACCUGCAGCCUGUUCUCCCUCCCCUGAUGCUCCAUCCCUCACCUCCCCACCACAAAGGGGCACGGGAAACCAGAGCGCCCCAACAAAGGCAGAUGUACUUAAGGGUUAUCUUUUGAUGCGAGCUGGCUUCCUUGCCUCUGGUCCCCUUCAAACCCAUCCUUGCGUGCUGCCCAAAUAAUUAUUACUUGUCCAGUUCAGAUCAUGUCAUUUCCCUGCUCAAAACCCUCCGUGGCUCCCCAUUGCUGAAGGAGCAAACACAAACCCCUCGUUCUGCUAUUUAAGUCUCCCUCUCUGUCUCUCUUCUCCAACUCAGCUGCACUGAAAUCCCAUCAGUCUGUGGUUUCCCAGAGGGAUCCCUACAGCCUUGUUCAUUGUUGCUUCCCUGGUGCCUCGUAUAGCUCCUGGUGCGUAGUAGGCACUUGGGAAGGGGGAAAAAUAUAAAAGAAGGGAGGAAUAAAAAGUGCCAACUUUUCCUACCCUCAACAUAGCCUUUGCUUCAGUUUCCUGUGAGACAAAUUGGAGUUUGACAUCCCUCCUCAAGAUGCCUCCUCCAAGACCAGGUAGGUGCACACCUCAACUCCUGCCAAAUUCUUCCUAUCCUUAGAGCGCUCAAUGCAGAUGCCACUUCCUCCAGUAAGACUUCCUAGAUACACUAUUUAAAACAAAUAUCUCUCUGUUCUAGAGUUCCCUGUGGCUGAGCUGUGUGUGCAGAGAGCACCUUUCUCUCUCCUUGGGAAGCCCUUUGAAUGUAGAAACUCUGCAUUCCUCAUUCCUGUGCCCUCCCUCUCCCCAGUGGCUAGGACUUAACACCAAAGGGUGCUCAGGAAACAAAUGGAAGCAGGGCACUAACCAACUCCAGGAGGACUGGGAGCAUGUUUCCCGCUGAAUCCCUGCCAUCUUGACCACUGCCUGGCAAGAGAAGACACUCUACCAACAUUUUUUUAGUGCUGCAUCCCUUGGAGGGCAUGAGGCAAGGCCACGUGAGACACAGUCGGUGCUAGAUUCCUGGAGGCAGAGCUGAGGG